AGGCAGUUAGUCCAAAUAUUAAGACCUCUGAUUUCGGCUCAGAGAAUCACGGUUAAAAUCCAUGACUCCCUU
rnacentral:tRNA from 1 species